rnacentral:lncRNA from 1 species
GCUGGCGGCAAGAUGGAGCGAGGAGGAAAACCAAGGACCACUUUCAUCGUUAUUAAGAUCCUCAGCCCCUCUGGUGUUGGAGAGGUCCCAUGGCAUACCAGUGAAAGGUUGCAAGAUCCCUGCUUCAACCAGCUCAGGAGGCAAACCACGCAGAGAGAGUCCACGCAGGGUGUCGGUGCAGUGCGCUCUGGAGUGAAAGGAGCCGAGUAACCCUGUUCCCGACUCUCCACCUGCCUCUGUCUUCCUGAGGCGGCAAUUUGGAGGUGAUGGUAAUAAUAACACCUCGCAUUUGUAGAGCACUCUCUUUAGCAUUUCAAUUCAGUUCUGCAAAUAUUUACUGUGCCGACCAUGUGAGGAACCUUCACAUCAAUUACUUCUCCUAACUGGCAAACCCCUCCCCUCAGCCCUGGCACAUGCACACAUCUACACACAAACCCGUGCAUACACGCAUGCACCCAUGAGUGCAUGCAUGCACAUGUACACACAUGCACUUGCACACAAAUGUGAGCACAGGCACAUAUGCAUGCACGCUCACACAUAUGCACACACACACAGGACUUACCCUCUCCCAUCUCCCUCAGCCUUCAUAUGUUUUGCUGUUAACUUAGUGAGUUCACCUUAAACUCUGAGACUAAGCAGGCUGGGACCCUGACCUCCUGAAUUGCCCUGCGGAGGCCGAUCCGUGAGGAUGGUUCCGAUGGGUCAUAGGCAGGUGCUGAGCUGCUGGAUUAGCACAUGGGCAUGGGGGUCAGCCAGCCGCAGUGCAAAUGCCUGCUCUGCUACUGAGCACUUUUGUUUCUCUGGACAAGCUGCUUCAUCUUUCCAUGCCUCAGAUUUCUAUCUGUAAAAUGGGGAUGCUGAUAGUAGCCAACUCAUAGGGUCAUCGUGAGGAUUAAACAGGACAACACAUCUGGCAGAGCGUCUGGUACGCCACUGUGAUGGAGCUGAUGAUACGAUGAUGGAUAUGCAGACAUGCAGAGACAGCUCCCCAUACGAUGACGUCCAUGCAUCACUGUGAGGGAUCCCAGCUAAAAUAUAUUUUCCCUCCUCAGUCCAUGAUCAAUGCCACUACCGGCCUUUGGGCUAAGGUAUUUAUCCCCUAUUUAACUACCCCUGGAAUUCAAUAGCUUAUCAUCUUCUUGUGAGUGAGUUUAGCAGACUCCUUACAAUUUGACUGUAGUUAUGGGAAGGUUCCUCCCUCCCUUCCUUC